GCGUUGUUUUAGUGGCGAUAGUCCACAACUGUAAACGACGCCGUUUUGAUAGCUCUUUAUCAAUAGCUAACAGCAUCCCUCUGAUCAUCCGAGGGAACCAAAAUUUCGAGAGCUCAAGGAAAUCUAUCUGAACGCAGAGAGAGCUAUGAGCAUUCGACCGUUUGAUAAGCUCCCUCCAACGGAAACCCUAGAAAUCGAGAAUGGUUUAUCUCUGGUCCCGCGCGUGAAGCUCAUCCUCACGGUUUACCCUUCAAUCUCCUCCUCAGCCACUAAACCAAUCGAUGAGUGGAAGCUAAAGCGCGCUCUCAUUGACUUUCUGAAGACCUCCCUCUCCGUCUCCAUCACAGUUCCCGAAGAGGAUCUGGAAAUCAGGCGGUAUAAAGACCUCAAGAAACGUAAACGCGAUGAUCCCGUCGCGCAUGGCACUCUUUGCAUUCGAGACUUAGGGUUUCUUAAUAGCGGGAAAGAUAAGGAUGAGGAUUUGAAGGUUUUGGAGAAGAAGUUAUUGGACUGGAGAAAGUACAUUGUUGAAAACAUGGAUGGAAUCGAGCUGAACCUGGAAGGUUUUAAGUAUAAGCUCAGCGUUGCUGUGCCAGAGUCCGAUGAUUUUGAGGGGAUGAAGAAAGCUUGGGAGGAGUUUUACGCUUUUGGAAGUCGAGGAUACUCCAGAGGGGGCAGGCAAGAGCCGGACACGAUUAUUGUGAGAGGGGUUCCGUCUCGUUGGUUUGCAGAGCCGAGGGUGUCAUCCAAACCUUCAUUGUUGGUUACACAUACCAUUUUCUCCGCAUUUGGGAAGAUAAGAAAUCUUAAUGUUGCUGAGGAUGAUGAUCAUGGUAAGGAUGCAGAUGAGGAUGGAGGGGAUAUAAUUUCAGGUCUCCACUGCAAGAUCGUGGUUCAAUAUGAGAAACAUGGGGACUUCUAUAAUGCUCUUAAAAUCCUAUGUGGACGCUCAUUGCAGAAGAUGCAACAUCACCUCUGCCAAAAUGUCAGCAAGGGUCUCGAUUGAAGGCUGAUUAUGAUGUCACCUGGACCAAGGAUAGCUUCUUCCAAAAUUCAAGUAGUCAAGCAAAAGAAAAGACUGCUAGGACGCCAGCAGUGGGAGGAGGGCAAUACAGAAAUGAAGAUCCUAGACGUGAAAGAUACGUUUCUCAGUUCACUUCUGAUGAUUCACGGCGGAAGAGAUUCAAGGAAUAGAGAUUGGCGAAGACUGACAACUUUUCUCCAGUUUGGAAUUUAGAACACAAGAAGCCUGAUUUCUUUCUGUUUCAACUACCAAAAUGUGAUGUUCUAUUAGCUUCUAGAACUUUUUCUGUAUCAAUAACCUUGUAGAAAAUGAUUCUAGAAUGGAGCCAAUUAUGGUGUAAGAGUUGUACCAUAGUUCACAAUUUGAUGUUCUUGGAUUUUAUAGUGACUUGGCUUUCAAGUA